AGUCCACAGCGAGGGGGAGGUUUGGCACCUCGAUGUCGGCUCAUCACAUCCGGGGGCUGUAGUAGGUCCCAAGGGUUGGGCUGUUCGCCCAUUAAAGUGGUACGCGAGCUGGGUUCAGAACGUCGUGGGACAGUUCGGUCCCUAUCCGUCGCAGGCGUAGGAAAUUUGAGAAGACCUGUCCUUAGUACGAGAGGACCGGGAUGGACGUAGCUCUGGUGUACCAGUUGU
rnacentral:rRNA from 1 species